UUUGUUUUUAUACCAUAAUUGAUCAAUGUUUCCUCUUUUAUCAGUGGGAAGAACAAACAGGCGAGAAAAUGUAUCUUGACAAAUUCAUGUUCACUUUAAUUUUAAUCUUAAUGAGAUAUAAUUUUAACAUUAAUCAUAUAAUAUUUGUUCUUAUUAUAUUUGUAUUCUCAUUUAAAAUAAUAAAGGUAUGAGUUUUAUGUUUAUGAAAAAAUGUCAAAGUUAUUAAUUUUUAGUAAAAAAUUAUUAAUGACAGGGAUUAUGUUGAGAUAGAAAUGAUAUACGAUUGUAUGGUGGGUAAUGUUUAUCAGUUUUGUCAGCAACAUAACAUGAUUCUGCAUGGUUUAAGUUUUUGUGUUUUCAGAAAUAUCUCAUGUAUGUUAUAGGAUAAUUUGCUAAUAUGUUGUAUUGUAGAAUAAAAAUAAAUGCAGAAGAACACAUGCUACUAGAAUGAUUGGCUACUUUACUUAUUGAAAAUUUAUACAACACAAAAUCAUUUGUAUUAAUUACGGUGUAAGUUCAUGUGUUAAUAUUUGUUUCUCCAAAAUAUAAAGAUAUAUAGCCUUGUAAUAUAUUUGAUUUCGUAUUUCAUAUUAACAUGAAUAUUUUAAUUUUAAUUGAUUUUAUAUUUAGAAUGUAAUUGUAAUCUAAGAAGUUUUAAUCUUGAAUUGAUAUUUAUUGUUACAGUCAUUUUGCUUCUUGUUUGGAGAACUUCGGGAAUGUUAAAGCAAACAUUUUGGUGGACAUUUAUUUGCAACGAGUAGUGGAGAUGGUGUAUACUCAACUACGUAAUUAAAUCCAUCAUUCAUAUGGAAAAUCCUUUCAAAACCAUUAUAGCUGGAGUACAGAAAAAGUCAAGGGAUUGAUUAUAGAUAACCAAAUACAGUGCCAUCGAUAAUCGCCCGAUAUUCAACAAAAUCAAAGCCAUUUACUGAUCCCGAAAAAUUGUCACACGGAGUAACAAUACUGUCCAGAUUCAAAGCAAGCUUUUGUAGUUGAUUGAUGUCCUUCAAGACAUCGAGAUCUCGUAUGAGAGUAAAAUCACCAGCAGCCAUGUAGAUGCAGAGAUGUGGAAGAGAAUUAGCCUCUGAAAACGUUUUGAAUACAACAGUAAAGAAAACAAUGACCAUCAAUCGAUAUUUGCUGGU